AAAUGACAGAACGGGCCCUGCUGCAGCUGCCGGAUCCUGCACCUCAGCGAGCACGAACUGCUUUUCCCAGGGCUUUCUGGUUUAUGCCUAUGGUCUCCCGGCCGGCCCAGCUUUAUCUCCUGCCCUAAGAUUAACCGAUACCAGACUUACCCUGACUACAAGCAACUGCUGACCUGGACAGAACACAUGAAAUAAAUGUUUUCAGAAGUUGGACAACAGACAGUGCAGAACUGUGAUCCCUGAGAAAAGGGAAACCAGCAAGGCUCACAGUUGCUCUUGGCCCGUGGGAAGCGCCAGCGGAAGAUCUCCAGGCAAGAUGAGAGUGCGUGGGAGUUUGUUCUUCAACUCCAUCCUGCAAGUCGCCAUGUGCGACUGGGCUUCUCAAGUGAAGACCACAGCUGAUGUCAAAACUUCAGAUGAGUUUCCGUUUCUAGUAUCACUGAGUAAACUUCUACUGGCUGACUUUUCACAGACAACAACUGUAAACUAUGGACAAAAUACGAGGACAAUGACUCAAAGCCCCUGGAGAUGGAACCAAGCAAGUGGAUUCUGGAGGGAGUUGAUGAUAUGAAAAAGAAGGACUGGUUGAUUUGCCAAUUUUUUAAUGACUUUUAGAUGGAGAGCAAGCCACAGUUAGCACUAAGUAGACUGUUAAAAUGCUUACAGAAAACCUACAGGCUUUCUGAUGUAAAGGAACAGAGGAAAGAAUUUGAAGCAAAUGCAGCAACUGGAAAGUGGGGUCCACCCCAGAAAGGAGAAACAAAGAGAAGGAACUCCAAUUUCAGUGUAUAAACUCUGCCCAAAUCUCUGGCUUUACUCUGAACCAUACAUGAGCAGAAUAAAAUCCAGCUAAAUAUUAAAGAACUGAACUGGGAUUUGAGCUAUAGCCCAAGAAACAGAAUUUUUUGGGUUGAAUCUGACCAACUUGAUUGCCUCUUAAAAAAAAAAAAGUUAUUUCUCAGGGGGGAUAUAACAGAUUCAGUGUCUUCAUAACAAAAUAUUUACAAUGUUCAGAAUAUACAUCAACAUUAUUUGACCUACAAAGAACCAGGAAAAUGUUAUCUACUCUUAAAUAAAAGGCAAUUGAUGGAAACUAAUCCUUUGAUGACCAGGAUGCUGAAACAGGCAAUUAUAAUUAUGCACAAUGACAUAGAGGACAGUAUGAUUAUAAUUAAUAAAAAUAUAGGAUAGCUUAGCUGAGAAAUAAAAACUUAAAAAGGAAACAAAUAGAAAUUCUAGAAACAAAAAAUCUGUACUAUAUGAAAUAAAAUUUAACUAGAAAAGGUUAGCAAAAGGAGACAACUAAGAAGAGUCAGUGAAUUUGCGGACAAGUCAAUAGAAGUUAUUCAGUCUGAAAAACAGAGAUCAAAAGAUUAAAAAAAUAAGCAGUCUUAGGGUCAGAUCAUGGUCAAGUUUACAUAUAAUUGGAGCCCCAGAAGGGAAGGAAUGGGUUAGGAAAGCUAUUUGAAGAAGUAAUGACUGGAGAGUUCCAAAGUUUAGCAAAAGACAUAAAUUUUCAGAUUCAAGAAGUUUAGAAAAUCCUAAAAUGGAAUAAACAUGAAAGGAAAUGAGCAUCAUAAUCAAACUACUAAAACCAAAUAUAAAGAGGGCCCUCUAGACCUUCAGCUGACCAUAUGGUUGCCUGAAAUAAAAGCCACAUUUUCCAGUCUCUUUUAUGCCAAGGUGUGGUCAUGUGACUAAAUGUUGCCCAGUUGUAUGCAAGGGGAAAGAAGGCAUAUAGUUUCUAUAGUUUCUAGAAUGUAUCCUUAAAGACAGAUGUGCAUCUUCUUCUCCUCUUUCUGCCUUGCUGCUGACUGGAGUGUGAUGUGCUAGAAGUCUCUUCGGACUGUGAGCAAGAGUUAACACCCUAGAGAUGGCCAAGUGACAACCUAGAUCCUGGGGCUUCUAGUGCAAAGUACCAUUCUGGCUCUGGAUGACCUCAUA